rnacentral:miRNA from 1 species
UGCCCACAUUGAUGAGAUCACA